CUACAAUGAUCGUGAGCGUGUGGAGAUAUUUAUAUCUGAUGCUGGUAUUCUUGCUGUCACUUACGGGCUCUACCGCCUUGCAGUCGCAAAGGGACUUGGUUGGGUUCUUUGUGUUUAUGGAGGGCCAUUACUUGUGGUGAAUGCAUUCCUUGUUCUGAUCACAUAUCUGCAGCAUACCCAUCCUUCAUUGCCGCAUUACGAUUCAUCUGAGUGGGACUGGUUAAAAGGGGCUCUAGCAACCGUCGAUAGAGAUUAUGGAAUCUUGAACAAGGUCUUCCAUAACAUAACAGACACUCAUGUAGCUCACCAUUUGUUCUCAAUGAUGCCACACUACCAUGCUAUGGAGGCAACGAAGGCAAUCAAACCAAUUUUGGGAGAUUACUAC
rnacentral:lncRNA from 1 species